UGAGGGAUAUUGGGCAAUGCCCGCAAGGGUGACCCAGCAACGCCGCGUGGAGGAUGAAUGUCGUAAGAUUGUAAACUCCUGUUAGAGGGGAAGAAUAGUACCGGUUGGACCGGUAUAUGACUGUACCCUCAGAGAAAGCCCCGGCUAACUACGUGCCAGCAGCCGCGGUAAUACGUAGGGGGCAAGCGUUGUCCGGAUUUACUGGGUGUAAAGGGCGCGCAGGCGGGAUAAAAAGUCAGUGGUGAAAUCCUACAGCUUAACUGUAGAACUGCCUUUGAUACUUUUAUUCUUGAGUUCGGGAGAGAGAGACGGAAUUCCAGGUGUAGUGGUGAAAUACGUAGAUAUCUGGAAGAACACCAGUUGCGAAGGCGGUCUCUUGGUCCGACACUGACGCUGAGGCGCGAAAGCGUGGGGAGCAAACA
rnacentral:rRNA from 1 species